rnacentral:lncRNA from 1 species
UUGAAAACAUACAUGCACAAAGAGUAGAUUGUACCUUCCAGGUCUCGCUGCCUAUUGACUGCUCAUUUCCCAUGGUCAUUGUCACCGUGGAGUCACUGUCACCAUGGGAUGUCUCUUACACAUGGCUCAUAAAAUGGAACCAUGAUGACAACAACAGUGCCCCACUAGCAUCUCCAAGCCACAGGAUUCUAGCCUAUUCCAUCACAUAUGCAUAUAUGCAUUCCACCAUAUAUGCAUUUCUAAAACCACUCAGAUUCUUGUCAGGAGUCUCAAGUCCCCGAGGACAUUAAUAAUAGCUUCUGAAGAAAAAAGUAAUCUCUAAGGAUCUUUAUGUCCAUGUAUGUGGGGGAAAAAAUAAUCCAUGUUUUGUUCUCUUGGCAGCUAACCUAGAUUUAAAGGAUCUAGUUAUCACUAACCUCAUACAGAAAGAACACAGUGGAAUGAGUGAAGGGGAGGUAAGACAUAGUAAACCGCAGCAGAUCAUGGAAAGUCCCAGACUGGUCUGCCAUAAUCCAACUUCCAACUAUUGGUCUCUCUCCUUCCUGUACUGUGUGGACUCCUAUUUGCUGUCAGAGUAAUCCAAAUUUUUUUUUCCAAAUUUUGAAUGGAGAUCUAUUUAUCUUUGAGUGAACUAAUAAAGGAGUUUAAAUCCCUACAAACCAGACCUAGCAGAAGGAGACCGUCCAGUCUGCAAAUAUUGACACCAAACAGUGACUAUGUCAAUAGGUCAAGCUGCAGAACAGCUGCAACAACACAGACAAGAUGGUUGCAUACUGAGCCCUGAAGUAAUACCACAAUAGCUCCACGGCUGCUACUGGUUGAGCAAGGCCAUGGAUGGGUGGUGGUUCUUCCUAAAGGAGAGAAGGGCAGCCAAAUGGUUAUUGGCUACCUGAAUAUGUUGAGCCUAUGCAAAGAUGUCAAGCAAUACAAAGAUGGGGAAUAUAGAAAGGACGAAAGAAAGAAAGAAAGAAAGAAAGACGGACCCAAGAGGCAAGAAUCAAGCCAAUUUGUACUUUCAGUUCCCUCACUUGUGCUACAGCACCAUAUGCUGCCUAUCAAGACCAGUUGAGAUUCUCCGGAGGCUUGGCAGUCAUCAGGAAGGAAGGUUAGAAUCUGAAUCUGAGUGCUGGGGAAGAAGAAAUAAAUGAGGUAAAUGAGGAAGCAGGCCCUACCCACAUGCUGUCACCAUAUUCUCCAUCUGG